UACGAAGGGGGCAAGCGUUGUUCGGAAUUACUGGGCGUAGAGGGCGCGUAGGCGGAUAUUCAAGUCAGAGGUGAAAGCCCUGGGCUCAACCCGGGAACUGCCUUUGAAACUGGAUGUCUUGAGUAUGGGAGAGGGUGGCGGAAUACCCAGUGUAGAGGUGAAAUUCGUAGAUAUUGGGUAGAACACCAGUGGCGAAGGCGGUCACCUCGCCCAUAACUGACGCUGAGGCGCGAAAGCGUGGGGAGCAAACAGG
rnacentral:misc_RNA from 1 species